rnacentral:rRNA from 1 species
CAAUAGCGUAUAUUAAAGUUGUUGCAGUUAAAAAGCUCGUAGUUGGAUUUCUGGUGGGAGCGAUCGGUCUGGCGCUUAGCGCGAGUACUUGCAUCGUCUCCGGCCAUCCUUGGGGAGAGUCUGUCUGGCAUUAGGUUGUCGGGCAGAGGAUCCUCAUCGUUUACUGUGAAAAAAUUAGAGUGUUCAAAGCAGGCUUAUGCCGUUGAAUAUAUUAGCAUGGAAUAAUAAGAUAGGACUUUGGUACUAUUUUGUUGGUUUGCGCACCAAAGUAAUGAUUAAUAGGGACAGUUGGGGGUAUUCGUAUUCCGUUGUCAGAGGUGAAAUUCUUGGAUUUACGGAAGACGAACUACUGCGAAAGCAUUUACCAGGGAUGUUUUCAUUAA